GUAAGGAAUAUUGGUCAAUGGACGCAAGUCUGAACCAGCCAUGCCGCGUGAAGGAUGACGGCCCUCUGGGUUGUAAACUUCUUUUAUAGGGGACGAAAAAAGGAAAUUCUUUUCCACUUGACGGUACCCUACGAAUAAGCACCGGCUAACUCCGUGCCAGCAGCCGCGGUAAUACGGAGGGUGCAAGCGUUAUCCGGAUUUACUGGGUUUAAAGGGUGCGUAGGUGGGUUGGUAAGUCAGCGGUGAAAUCUCCGAGCUUAACUCGGAAACUGCCAUUGAUACUAUCAAUCUUGAAUAUCCUGGAGGUAAGCGGAAUAUGUCAUGUAGCGGUGAAAUGCUUAGAUAUGACAUAGAACACCAAUUGCGAAGGCAGCUUACUACGGGAUUAUUGACACUGAGGCACGAAAGCGUGGGGAUCAAACAGGAUUAGAUACCCCGGUAGUCC
rnacentral:rRNA from 1 species